rnacentral:tRNA from 1 species
GCUGAUUUGGCUCAGUGGAUAGAGCGUCAGCCUGUGGACUGAAGGGUCCCAGGUUCAAUUCCUGUCAGGAGCA